UGAGUUGAGUUGAGUUGGGUUAC
rnacentral:siRNA from 1 species